rnacentral:rRNA from 1 species
UACGGGGGGGGCAAGCGUUGUUCGGAAUUACUGGGCGUAAAGGGUGCGUAGGCGGUCGUGCAAGUCGGAUGUGAAAUCUCAGGGCUCAACCCUGAAACUGCAUUCGAUACUGCGUGGCUAGAGUGCUGGAGAGGAGACUGGAAUUUACGGUGUAGCAGUGAAAUGCGUAGAUAUCGUAAGGAAGACCAGUGGCGAAGGCGAGUCUCUGGACAGCAACUGACGCUGAGGCACGAAGGCCAGGGGGAGCAAACGGG